UACGAAGGGGGCUAGCGUUGCUCGGAAUCACUGGGCGUAAAGCGCACGUAGGCGGCUUCUUAAGUCAGGGGUGAAAUCCUGGAGCUCAACUCCAGAACUGCCUUUGAUACUGAGUAGCUUGAGUCCGGGAGAGGUGAGUGGAACUGCGAGUGUAGAGGUGAAAUUCGUAGAUAUUCGCAAGAACACCAGUGGCGAAGGCGGCUCACUGGCCCGGUACUGACGCUGAGGUGCGAAAGCGUGGGGAGCGAUCCGG
rnacentral:rRNA from 1 species